UACGUAGGGGGCAAGCGUUGUCCGGAUUUAUUGGGCGUAAAGAGCGUGUAGGCGGCUUUACAGGUCCGUUGUGAAAACUCGAGGCUCAACCUCGAGACGCCGGUGGAAACCGUAAGGCUAGAGUCCGGAAGAGGAGAGUGGAAUUCCUGGUGUAGCGGUGAAAUGCGCAGAUAUCAGGAGGAACACCAGUGGCGAAGGCGACUUCCUGGCCUGUUCUUGACGCUGAGGCGCGAAAGCUAGGGGAGCAAACGGG
rnacentral:rRNA from 1 species